UUGUCAUGAUGAUUUGCUUUUGGUCCGUGUUUAUGAAGACUCGUGAUUUUAAAUAUCAAAAGCACUGAUGAU